GGGGAAUAUUGCACAAUGGGCGCAAGCCUGAUGCAGCGACGCCGCGUGAGGGAUGGAGGCCUUCGGGUUGUAAACCUCUUUCGCCAGUGAAGCAGGCCUGCUCCUUGUGGGUGGGUUGACGGUAGCUGGAUAAGAAGCGCCGGCUAACUACGUGCCAGCAGCCGCGGUAAUACGUAGGGCGCGAGCGUUGUCCGGAAUUAUUGGGCGUAAAGAGCUCGUAGGCGGCUGGUCGCGUCUGUCGUGAAAUCCUCUGGCUUAACUGGGGGCUUGCGGUGGGUACGGGCCGGCUUGAGUGCGGUAGGGGAGACUGGAACUCCUGGUGUAGCGGUGGAAUGCGCAGAUAUCAGGAAGAACACCGGUGGCGAAGGCGGGUCUCUGGGCCGUUACUGACGCUGAGGAGCGAAAGCGUGGGGAGCGAACAGGAUUAGAUACCCUGGUAGUCCACGCCGUAAACGUUGGGCACUAGGUGUGGGGGGCCUUUUCCGGGUCUUCCGCGCCGUAGCUAACGCAUUAAGUGCCCCGCCUGGGGAGUACGGCCGCAAGGCUA
rnacentral:rRNA from 1 species